rnacentral:rRNA from 1 species
CAAUAGCGUAUAUUAAAGUUGUUGCAGUUAAAAAGCUCGUAGUUGAAUUUCUGUCAGGAGUGACCGGGCCUUUGGAUGAACUUCCAUUGUUUUUGCUCUGUUUGUCAUCUCUAGACAUCCUAAAUUACAUUUCUUGUAAUUUUCUUUUACUGUUAGCAAAAUAGAGUGUUCCAAGCAAAGCGUAGUUUUGAAUACAUUAGAAUGGAAUAAUAAGAUAGGACUUUGGUGCUAUUUUGUUGGUUUGCACACCAAGGUAAUGAUUAAUAGGGACAGUUGGGGGUAUUCGUAUUUAAUUGUCAGAGGUGAAAUUCUUGGAUUUAUGAAAGACGAACUACUGCGAAAGCAUUUACCAAGGAUGUUUUCAUUA